rnacentral:lncRNA from 1 species
GUCGGGUGUUUUUUUUUUAACAUUAAGUUUUAAUCGUCUUAAAAAUAGUGUGUGUGUGUGUGUUUAAAUGAUUUUCUCAGAUAACUGUUUGGGAAAUAGCAGUUGAUUUCAUGUGAGUCCUAAGUCAUUUAUUUCAAAUUAUCCAGUACUUCCGUGGCAGAAAUUAGGCUUUGUGUCUGGGUGACUACGAGGAGGAAGAUGCCACUAACAAUAGGAAAUCAUUAAGAAGACUUCAGGGUAUUUGUUCCCUCUUUUUGUUUUGUCCAAGAUGGAGAUUGAGUAGAAGAGUUUUUUAAGAUACAUGUUGGAAAAUUUAGAUGCACCUCUAAGUUGUUUUUUUUUUUUCAUGGCUAAACAGAGAAAUGUCUUUCUGGGUUGAGAAUAAGAGGCUACUGAAUUAGAAAAAAAAAAAAGAAAGAAACUAACUCUAAGAGUUUUAAAAUGGAGCAGAACUCCAUGAGGACUAGAAGAAUCUGCUCCAAGAAUAAAGCUGCUCAGAAAAGGGAAAACCAGGGAAUGAAGAAGGAUGGGAAGUGGGGAGAGAUGGAUGCCAACCACCCAGUGAACAGAAGUCACCGUGGCAGCAGGACUGGCAGUGGAAAUCAGUUACCUUGUUGUCCUGAAUUCCUGUAUCGAGGCAAACUAUUCUACUCCUGUAGGUGCCUGUCCACUUGGUCUAAAUAUGGUUUAAAACAGUGUCAACAACAAAGGCUU